UACGGAGGGUGCAAGCGUUAUCCGGAUUUACUGGGUUUAAAGGGUGCGCAGGCGGAUAUGUAAGUCAGUGGUGAAAUCUCCGGGCUUAACCCGGAAACUGCCGUUGAUACUAUAUAUCUUGAAUGCCGUGGAGGUAAGCGGAAUAUGUCAUGUAGCGGUGAAAUGCUUAGAUAUGACAUAGAACACCUAUUGCGAAAGCAGCUUACUACACGGAGAUUGACGCUCAUGCACGAAAGCGUGGGGAUCAAACAGG
rnacentral:rRNA from 1 species